CAGCCGCCGCGGGAAUACAGAGGGUGCGAGCGUUAAUCGGAUUUACUGGGCGUAAAGCGUGCGUAGGUGGCCAAUUAAGUCAAAUGUGAAAUCCCCGAGCUUAACUUGGGAAUUGCAUUCGAUACUGGUUGGCUAGAGUAUGGGAGAGGAUGGUAGAAUUCCAGGUGUAGCGGUGAAAUCCGUAGAGAUCUGGAGGAAUACCGAUGGCGAAGGCAGCCGUCUGGCCUAAUACUGACACUGAGGUACGAAAGCAUGGGGAGCAAACAGGAUUAGAUACCCCCGUAGUCCCUGUCUCUUAUAC
rnacentral:rRNA from 1 species